GACGAACGCUGGCGGCGUGCUUAACACAUGCAAGUCGAACGGAAAGGCCCUGCUUUUGUGGGGUGCUCGAGUGGCGAACGGGUGAGUAACACGUGAGUAACCUGCCCUUGACUUUGGGAUAACUUCAGGAAACUGGGGCUAAUACCGGAUAGGAGCUCCUGCUGCAUGGUGGGGGUUGGAAAGUUUCGGCGGUUGGGGUUGGACUCGCGGCUUUUCAGCUGGUUGGUGGGGUAGUGGCUUACCAAGGCUUUGACGGGUAGCCGGCCGGAGAGGGUGACCGGCCACAUUGGGACUGAGAGACGGCCCAGACUCCUACGGGAGGCAGCAGUGGGGAAUAUUGCACAAUGGGCGGAAGCCUGAUGCAGCAACGCCGCGUGCGGGAUGACGGCCUUCGGGUUGUAAACCGCUUUCGCCUGUGACGAAGCGUGAGUGACGGUAAUGGGUAAAGAAGCACCGGCUAACUACGUG
rnacentral:rRNA from 1 species